AUUGAACGCUGGCGGCAGGCCUAACACAUGCAAGUCGAGCGGCAGCGGGACCUUCGGGUUGCCGGCGAGCGGCGGACGGGUGAGUAAUGCCUAGGAAUCUGCCUGUUAGUGGGGGAUAACGCGGGGAAACCCGCGCUAAUACCGCAUACGUCCUACGGGAGAAAGUGGGGGACCUUCGGGCCUCACGCUAACAGAUGAGCCUGGGUCGGAUUAGCUAGUUGGUGGGGUAACGGCCCACCAAGGCGACGAUCCGUAACUGGGCUGAGAGGAUGAUCAGUCACACUGGAACGGAGACACGGUCCAGACUCCUACGGGAGGCAGCAGUGGGGAAUAUUGGACAAUGGGCGAAAGCCUGAUCCAGCCAUGCCGCGUGUGUGAAGAAGGUCUUCGGAUUGUAAAGCACUUUAAGCCGGGAGGAAGGGCUGUAGGCGAAUACCCUGCAGUCUUGACGUUACCGGCAGAAUAAGCACCGGCUAACUUCGUGCCAGCAGCCGCCGUAACAC
rnacentral:rRNA from 1 species